AAAAAUUGUGUAUAAAAAUGUUUUGAUAUGUGUACAUUAAUCUGAAUAAUAAUGACUUUCUUUUAUUUCCAAUUCUACAAAUGGAGGACAGAAGAGACAUGCAGCCUACAGUGAUGGACUUGAAGAAAUAUAGGCAAUGUAAGUACGAUUAAGUGAUUUUUGCUGCUUGUGGCGUUUACUCGAAGUAGCUGGUUACCUCCAAAUGGGACGACAGUCAUGGAUGUUGAGAUGGCCUACGUCGCAGACUCGCGAGGACGGGCGGCUGGGAUGUUCGCUAGCGACCUACGACAGCUACAGGCUUCCUGCCUAUGCCUGUAAAAGGGGACUUUGAGAUGUCAUGCUGAAGUUUUCUGGAGAUUAUCUGGUUUCAUUUUUGGGAAGCAGUCCACAUGGAAAAAUGAUGCAGCCAAACUAAAGAUAUGCUCAAUUGGUUCUUUCUAAUGUUCCUGUUAUUAAGAAGCAGGAAAAAUUGAAGAAUAAGAGAGGGAAAAUGUCAAAUUUACUUGGUCUACAACAAAGAAACCCUUUUAUUUGAUUGCUGUUCUUCAUAUACAAGUUCACAGACAAGUCCUUCAACAAUGAGAAAAUGUUUAAAAAAAAUUGUGUUAAAAAUGUUUUGAUUUGUGUACAUUAAUCUGAAUAAUAAUGACUUUCUUUUGUUUCCAAUUCUACCAAGGAAAAUAGCCAUACAAUUUUUAUAGAUUUAUAGAUAUAGAAAUGAAAAUGUACAUAAGACAUCAAACAAUAUAUUUAUUUGAAUUUGUUUCAUUCAUAUCUCCAAACACGAGUUGAUUAUAUAGGGAAUCACUGAAGCAUGAAGUGCCCCCCCUUUUUUUAUGUCAGUCAGAGGGGCCCCCUUAUAAAAAGUGCUGGAUCUGCCACUGAUUAAACAUGUUUGUGAGUGCUCAACCAACAAUGGACUAACCUGUGACAAUAAGAAUAAACUGAAAAAUAUGGUUCUAUUGGCUUUACUCCAUAGAUUGGUACGAGGCACAUAAAUCACAACGAACAUAGAAAGUAGACACAAAGAAAUAAAUCAUGUUUUUAUGCCCCAUUCAUGGGCAUUAUGUUUUCUGGUCUGUCUGUCCGUUAUUUCGUUCGUACGUCUGUCCGUCCCGCUUCAGGUUAAAGUGUUUGGUCGAGGUAGUUUUUGAUGAACUUGAAGUCCAAUCAACUUGAAACUAAGUACUCAUGUUCCCUAUAUGAUAUUUCUAAUUUUAAUGUUUAAUGAGAGAUUUUCUUCCCUUUUCACGGUCCACUGAAUAUAGAAAAUGAUAGUGCGAAUGGGUGGGGCAUCCGUGUAGUGUUGACACAUUCUUGUUUUAACUGAAGUAUCAUUAAUAUUCACAGACUAAUUGAGUUUCGUGGGGUGGAACCAGGGUUUUCACAUGAAGCUCGAUUUUUAAGCAAGACAAAAUUUUGUUUUUUUACAUCAUUCAUAUCCUAUUUGCCAAAAAUAAAUCCAGAAUAUUUUUUUUGUAACUGAAUAUAUAAGUCAGAUUAUUUGUUUAAACAUUACAGAUUAGCUUUGGGCUUGUCCUUAAGGAUUGAGACUGAAAAUGGCAAUUGGAUCAGACUUUUAAAGUAAGUUUUAAUAAUUACAUAGAUUUUUUAAUUUCUGAACUCAAUUCAUGUAAAAUGGGAGUUUGCGUGGGGUAUAAUAUUUUUGACCUGUCUGUCCUGUUCGUCAGCCUGGUUCUUGUCAUUGCAACUCCUCUAAAACCACAAUUUCAUAAAACAAGGUAGUAUGUACACAAUACUAUGUAGUUGUGCAUAUAAAGAAGAAAUUAUGGUUCAAUUUUUUUUUCUAGGGGUUACGUUAUGCCCCUCUGAACUUAAAUUAAGGCCUAUACUGCUGUAACAGUUGCACUACAAGUCCUUUGAAACUGCACAACAGAAUUUCAUGGAUCUUUAAAGUUAAUGAGGACAGUAUGGCAUAUCCACAAGAAAUGUUUAUCAGUUGACUUUUUUCUAUCAAUACAAGCACAACAGAUUUCUUUAACAAGUAUAUCUAUAGUGCUUGGAUUGACCUGUAAAGGGAAUAUUUCAUACAAGUAUACUGCUUUUAUUAUUUGUUUAUAGGCUGAUGUAAGGACUGGUUCCAUGGUGUUGAAAGUAAGAAUUGACGAUCUGAUACUGCAAACAUAUUGGUAGAUAUACCUAAAUUUUUAUCCCCCACAUAACACAUAAUAUCUCGGACAAGUUCUAUAAUGGUGAACGAUCAACUUUUUUUAAUAUAAUUAUGGCCUAUGGAAAUAUUAAAUAAGUGCAACGAGUGGGACAUUGGAACUAUAUUCUUUUAUUUUAAUCUAAAAGUGUUUGGAUGUCAAUUAAAUAACGAUUCGGGUAUCGUAAAGAUUGCAUUACAUGGAGAUAUUCAGCUCCAGAGGUAAGAGGGUACAUAAUUGUCCAAGAUAGUAGAGAUACUGUCAAGUUUUGAAACAGAAAUUGUUUUGGGGAUACGAUUGCUUUCUAGCAAUCUGUAGACUUAUACCAUUGGCUCAGGGCCAUGCCCUCACGUCAACCAUUUUAUUCUAAACAUUAAGGAACAUCUCAGAUUCUUAUGAUUGUCUUGCUUGAAAAGGUAAAAAAAACCAAAGGGGCGGAACUUAAACAACUUUCCUAUAAUGUUCUUUUCAUAAUCUUCAUGUUUGAUAUUUCCCUUGACUUAUAUGCAUGUUUUUAACAACACGGAAAGUCAGAAUUGAGCAGUAUUUAUAUUUAGUGUUUUUAUAAAUUUAGAAACACGUCAGAAGGAAUUCCCCAGUUUUGAUAAAAAUGCAAGAGUUCUCUGAAUUCCGAAAAAUUUAUUUCUGUCAUAAAAACUGAUGGAGUUUUUCUUAUAUGUCACCGUUAUGAAACUGAUAUUUGAUAUUGUACUUCCAUAAAGAAAUAGAGAACCUUUAACAUUUAAUAUACGUUCUUGCUUCAGGGUUUGUUUAGGUAAUUAUGUGCAUGUGUAUAGUUUUCUUGACUUCAAGGGGUAUUAGAUUGAAUGGUUGCUCUGGAUUCCCCACUCAACCUGUGAACAGUAUAUCCAAGGAUUUGUAUAGUAAGAUCCUUGGUAUAUUUAAAUAAUAUAUAUGUUCCUGACUCAACUGAUUCUAAAACAAUACAACACAUCGAGAAAAAUUAACUUGUUCUAUCGAUAAACGUCGUAUUAUAUUAAAAACCAUCGCAAUUUAAACCAUGGAAUGUGUACAGAAAUAAGUCAUGACCAUUGACCCAAAGGAAAUUAAAUAUUUAAAGAGUUAGGAAUGGGGUUCCUCCUAGAAUUAACGUAGGAAAAUAGGUGAUAAGAUACCAAGUGAAAUACGUUCUCUCACUCUGAGUCUCAGUGACUGCUGUGGAAAGUAAAUUUGGAAGUGAUAGUACAAAAAUAAAACACAAGUACAUUGUUCAUACUGUUACACUUGUAUCUGGGAUUAGUUAUUUUGUAACUAUUCAGAUUACGUAAAUUAUAUUUUACAUGUGCAGUUGAAUUAGUUUUAAAAUAAUAAUAAUAUACAGCUACACAGCUACAUGUAUACAUGUGUCAAUACAAACAAUGGCAAUCCUAUCCCUCAGAGCAAUCUGCUCUUUGAUUGACUUUUUUUAAUUUAUCAAGAUUUAAACUAAAUAUCCACUGGAUUUCUUGAGUAGUUAUGAAACACAAACUUAAAUGUUGAACAAAGUACCAAUUUUCUAUCAACCAACUUUCUAUCAUUUAAUAUCCACAGAAAUCCAUGUUUUCCUUAAUCACAAUGUAAAUCAUUUAAUCCAGUAAAUCCACUGUCGAUUUUUGAAGAGUUUACAGCUAAUUUCCUAAUGCUUGUAGAGUAAAACGUUGGUUGGCUUGCUUGCUUUGUUUGUAUAAUUGUUUAUUCAAGCUUUGUAAUUAAGAUUGACAUCUCCAAACAAUAUAUAUGACAUAGUUAAACCUGUAUAUAUCAUAUUUAAAUUCAAUUGGACAUUUUCCCAAUAUAAUUGUACACUAUACAAACAAAGCAAGCAAACUAACCAAAGUCUUCAUCUGCAUGCAUUAGGAAAUUAGCUGUAUAUAACUGAUUCAACUUUGUAUUACAGGUUAGCAUCACAGCUUGUCCUGUUGGAUACUGGCCGGAGUAGAAUUUGGAUCUUUUUGAGGUGAGAAAAUAUUUAUUUGUCCACAUACAAGAGGGUGGUAAUGGGGGUACUUUUAUAACCAAUAAGCGUAAAAAUUCUUACUGAAUGACGCCGACUGUAAAAUUUGGAGCAUGCAAUAAAAUGUAAAGUUUUAGACAAUGAAAAAAAAUCAAACAAAUUUUGAAGAAUCAAGUUAGGCCACACCAACUUAAUUUCUUGUUCUACGGAUUUUUAGACUCCAAAAUUUGGUGCGAGCGAGCGAUUUGAAAAUUUUAAUAAAAAAAUAUUUAAUUUGCAAAUUUUUGAGGCGAAGCUUGUAAAGUAAAGGCGAGCGAUUAUAUUUUUUGUAAACAUAAAAUAGUAUGUUUUGACAAUAAUAAAACUUGAUUUAUAACUUGUACUUUGACAUUUUUUAAUUUCUGAAGUAUUUUUUCCCUGUUCACCAAGAAAUAAUUAAAUCUGGUCUAUGUAUGUGUGACUGACAAUGAGACAAUUCUCCAUCCAAGUCAUAAUCAGUUUGGGGGCAACCCCUUAAUGUUAUAAAUAUCCCUUUUACAUGUUUUAUGAGGGAUCAAUAUAAGUUAUAAUAUAUUUGUUUGCACAAAAGGGCUCAUAUUUUCUCAAAGAACUAUAUAUCUAUCUAGUAUUAAAUGGUCAAAACAUGUCCAAGAAUUUUGUAAUAUUCCUGGACUUUAACCAUGUUACCAUGUUAAAUUAACACAUUUACUUUAACAGUUUAAUAUUAUUCAAAAUAAGUGGACCCCUCUUUUAGAAAAAGUUGUUUAAAAUAGGAUGUAACUGUCCUCUUUUUGAGUACAAAAUUCUAAGUUUUCAAAGGUUUUGUAUAGAAGAACUAUACAAAUCCUUGGUAUUUCUAUUUUCUUUUCUACAUCAGUAAAAUGACCCCUUGUCUGAGGGAGGGUUGUUCUCAACCUGACAAUAACAAGUACAGGUCAAAGUACGGCCUUUUAAAACAGGGCUUUGAUACAGACCAAACAGCAAGCUAUAAAGGAUCCCAAAAUUAUUAGCAUACACAAUUCGAACAGGAAAACCAACGAACUAAUUUAUAUAUCCAAACAGGAAAAUACCAAUGAACAACAUCAACAAACGAUAACUGCUGAACGACAGGCCCCUGAAUCAAUCAGGACAGGUGCAUAAACAUGCAGCGGCUAUAUAUAGUUUUGUUUUGCCAGCAUACAAUAUAAUUGCAUUUGAAGGCAAAUCCUUCAGAAGUUCUUUGUACUUUAUUCUAACAACGAACAUUUUUUGAUAGGGAAUAUAAGUAAGGGGGAAAAAAACCAAUGUUGAUAUCUUUUUAUAAUAUUUACAAAAAAAAAACGGUGCGGGAAAUAGACACGAUUACAUUUCCGGAUGCGGGAAACGGGAAUAUAAAAAAAAUUCUGUUUUGAAAAAAAUAGGUGCGGGCGGGUCCGUCGAACAAGGAAUCAAAUUAGUGUGGCCUUAUAAUUUUUUUCCAAAAAAUAACUGUAACGAUCAUUAUUUGAGACCUCUGACAAAUCACCAGAAGGAUAUUUUUAUCAAUCAAUUUGAUGCUAACUGUAAGUAGCCGAUAAUGACCGUUUGACGCCUGAUGGUAAAGGGCAUUACUACCCUUCUACAAAUUUAAUUAAUUGAUGUAAUGUUAUGGACAGUUUAAAUUUCUAUAAAUCUUUGUUAUUUGCAAUUAUAUUUCAUCUUUAUAUUUUCUACUGCAGCCUUUAUAGAUGUAAAUCAGAUGUUUUUAAUGCUCUAAACAGUUCAGAAGGUUUAUAGUCCUUUUUAUCUACUUUCUCUUAUACCAUUUUUAAACUUUUACAUAAUAACCAUGAACUGAAUCAUAAAAAGAACUGUUGUUUUUAUCAUAUUAAAGAACUGUGAAUACUUGAAAAGGGGAGAUAACCUCACAUUUAUUUGCAAUGAAAUGGCAAGUGCUGUCGCAUAGAUAAGAUGUCUUAAUUAUAUUUUUCUUCUUAUUCAGUUUUGUAUUUCUUUCAAUACAAAUUUCCAAAGAAUUCAUUUCUUCAUUCAAUAUAAGGAGAAAACAAAGUAAAUGUCAUAAAACUAGAACCAAUUACCAAUGAAAGAUUAUCGAAAUACCGGUAUUCUGAAUAAUUUUAUCAUGUACAUUGUAUGUAAAUUUUUCAAAUUUUCAGCUUUAUAGCUUCUGCUCUUGUCUGACACUCAAUAAAUAAUUAAUUUAAUAUUGGUAAUAGUGAUGUUAACACCUUGAAAUCAAAAUUAGAUUAUUGAAAAAUGGCUUUCAUUUUAUAACAAAUUUAGCUACACAAUCUCUAUUGCAAUAUUUUUUGGUAAAUCAAUAAAUUUGAAUAGAAAACAAGUAUUUUUAUAUACAACAAAUUCUGUCUAUUUAAAAGAAAAAUUAACACUCAAAUAUUUAAACAUUACCUAAUUCAUAUAUUUUAACAUUACUUAAAAUUACUAUGGAUUGUCAAGAAAUGAAAUAUUAUUUUAUUUCUUUUACAGGUGCGUUUCUACUGCUGCCUUGUGAGGUCAAUCCAAUGGACAAUAACAACUAAGCAGACAAGAUAUAUAUUGCUUUUUUGUUUAAUAAAAUCUUUAAAUGAUAAUUCUGAAAGCCAAACGAUUCAUUUUUUUAUGCUGUUAUUUUUUCCAUUUACUGUAAAU
rnacentral:lncRNA from 1 species